UUAGCUCAGUCGGUAGAGCAGCGGACUUUUAAUCCGUUGGUCGAAGGUUCGAAUCCUUCACGAC
rnacentral:tRNA from 1 species